UACGUAGGGUGCGAGCGUUGUCCGGAAUUACUGGGCGUAAAGAGCUCGUAGGUGGUUUGUCGCGUUGUCCGUGAAAACUCACAACUCAAUUGUGGGCGUGCGGGCGAUACGGGCAGACUGGAGUACUGCAGGGGAGACUGGAAUUCCUGGUGUAGCGGUGGAAUGCGCAGAUAUCAGGAGGAACACCGGUGGCGAAGGCGGGUCACUGGACCGGUACUGACGCUGAUGCGCGAAAGCGUGGGGAGCAAACGGG
rnacentral:rRNA from 1 species